GGUCAGGUAGCUCAGGUGGUAGAGCAGGGGACUGAAAAUCCCCGUGUCGGGGGUUCGAAUCCCUCCCUGACCACCG
rnacentral:tRNA from 1 species